UACGAAGGGGGCUAGCGUUGUUCGGAAUCACUGGGCGUAAAGCGCACGUAGGCGGAUCUUUAAGUCAGGGGUGAAAUCCCGAGGCUCAACCUCGGAACUGCCUUUGAUACUGGGGAUCUCGAGUCCGGGAGAGAUGAGUGGAACUGCGAGUGUAGAGGUGAAAUUCGUAGAUAUUCGCAAGAACACCAGUGGCGAAGGCGGCUCACUGGCCCGGAACUGACGCUGAGGUGCGAAAGCGUGGGGAGCAAACAGG
rnacentral:rRNA from 1 species